GAGAUAAAAACCAAAGGGGAAGCUUCUAACUUACCCCUAUAGCAGUGAAACUCUGUUAAUAUCUCU
rnacentral:tRNA from 1 species